GCGCGAGUGGUGAAAUUGGCAGACACGCAGGAUUUAGGUUCCUGUGCCUUCGGGCGUGGGGGUUCAAGUCCCCCCUUGCGCACC
rnacentral:tRNA from 2 species